GGGCGGGUAGCUCAGAUGGCGAGAGCGCCUCGUUUACACCGAGGAGGCCGGGGGUUCGAGCCCCUCCCCGCCCA
rnacentral:tRNA from 1 species